UGGGGAAUUUUGGACAAUGGGCGAAAGCCUGAUCCAGCAAUGCCGCGUGUGUGAAGAAGGCCUUCGGGUUGUAAAGCACUUUUGUCCGGAAAGAAAUCCUCUGGGUUAAUACCUCGGGGGGAUGACGGUACCGGAAGAAUAAGCACCGGCUAACUACGUGCCAGCAGCCGCGGUAAUACGUAGGGUGCAAGCGUUAAUCGGAAUUACUGGGCGUAAAGCGUGCGCAGGCGGUUUUGUAAGACGGAUGUGAAAUCCCCGGGCUUAACCUGGGAACUGCAUUCGUGACUGCAAGGCUAGAGUAUGGCAGAGGGGGGUAGAAUUCCACGUGUAGCAGUGAAAUGCGUAGAGAUGUGGAGGAAUACCGAUGGCGAAGGCAGCCCCCUGGGCCCAAUAACUGACGCUCAUGCACGAAAGCGUGGGGAGCAAACAGGAUUAGAUACCCUGGUAGUCCACGCCCU
rnacentral:rRNA from 1 species